UACAGAGGUCCCAAGCGUUGUUCGGAUUCAUUGGGCGUAAAGGGUGCGUAGGCGGUGCUGCAAGUCAGAUGUGAAAUCUCGGGGCUUAACCCCGAAACUGCAUUUGAUACUGCGGUGCUCGAGGACUGGAGAGGAGACUGGAAUUCACGGUGUAGCAGUGAAAUGCGUAGAUAUCGUGAGGAAGGCCAGUGGCGAAGGCGAGUCUCUGGACAGUUCCUGACGCUGAGGCACGAAGGCCAGGGGAGCAAACGGG
rnacentral:rRNA from 1 species